CCCUGCCAUUUGUACACACCGCCCGUCGCUACUACCGAUUGAAUGGCUAAGUGAGGCUUUCGGACUGGCCCAGGGAGAGUGGCAACGCUCUCCCAGGGCCGGAAAGUUGUCCAAACUUGGUCAUUUAGAGGAAG
rnacentral:rRNA from 1 species